AUUGAACGCUGGCGGCAUGCCUUACACAUGCAAGUCGAACGGCAGCACGGGAGCAAUCCUGGUGGCGAGUGGCAAACGGGUGAGUAAAGUAUCGGAACGUGCCCAGUCGUGGGGGAUAACGUAGCGAAAGUUACGCUAAUACCGCAUACGAUCUAUGGAUGAAAGCGGGGGAUCGCAAGACCUCGCGCGAUUGGAGCGGCCGAUAUCAGAUUAGGUAGUUGGUGGGGUAAAGGCUCACAAAGCCGACGAUCUGUAGCUGGUCUGAGAGGACGACCAGCCACACUGGGACUGAGACACGGCCCAGACUCCUACGGGAGGCAGCAGUGGGGAAUUUUGGACAAUGGGCGAAAGCCUGAUCCAGCCAUGCCGCGUGCAGGAUGAAGGCCUUCGGGUUGUAAACUGCUUUUGUACGGAACGAAAAGGUUUGGCCUAAUAAGCUGAGCUCAUGACGGUACCGUAAGAAUAAGCACCGGCUAACUACGUGCCAGCAGCCGCGGUAA
rnacentral:rRNA from 1 species